GAUAUCGCCAUCGUUGAUGGUUCCCCGUUCGAGGGGAUGAAAAGGGAACACGGUGAGGAAGAUCUCCCAUGCCGUGGCUGCCCCCGCAACUGUAAGCGGAGAGUCUGACGCACACUACGCCACUGGGAAACCGGGAAGGCCGCGCCAGACGUUGACCCGCAAGCCAGGAGACCUGCCAUCAUCCAUCGUCACUG
rnacentral:ncRNA from 1 species